rnacentral:rRNA from 1 species
UACAGAGGUCUCAAGCGUUGUUCGGAUUCAUUGGGCGUAAAGGGUGCGUAGGCGGCGCGGUAAGUCGGGGUGUGAAAUCUCGGAGCUUAACUCCGAAACUGCAUUCGAUACUGCCGUGCUUGAGGACUGGAGAGGAGACUGGAAUUUACGGUGUAGCGGUGAAAUGCGUAGAUAUUCGCAAGAACACCAGUGGCGAAGGCGGCUCACUGGCCCGGUACUGACGCUGAGGUGCGAAAGCGUGGGGAGCAAACAGG